CUUUUUCAUCAAGUAUUGCAGAUCAUCUAAGAUCAGCAUCUCUUGUCAUCAGCCAUGCUGGGUCAGGGAGUAUAUUUGAGACUUUGCAGCUUGGAAAACCUCUAAUUGUAGUGGUGAAUGAAGAUCUGAUGGACAAUCAUCAAAGUGAACUUGCAGAAGAACUAGCAGAGAGGAAGCAUUUAUAUUGUGCUCGUCCUCGAACACUCCACCGUACAAUAGCAGAUAUGGAUUUGGAGUCUCUUCUUCCAUACCCUGCAGGUGAUGCAACCCCUGUUGCCAAGCUUAUAAAUAGGUUUCUAGGUUUCCCAGAUGAUUGAUGAAUUCUGCAUAUAGACACAAACCACUAGAUAAUGUUAGAAUCUGGGGUGAUAAUAUCAGAAUCAGACGAAUCUCC
rnacentral:misc_RNA from 1 species